rnacentral:lncRNA from 1 species
GACGAGUUAAUGACUUAUCCCCACCACUGAUCUCACUUACCUGGCCAACCUGGUGAAUUAGGUUUUGAUUAGAUCACUUGAUGAUUAGGGCUCACCCAUGUCAUUAGGUAAAUCAGUUUGACUGAUUUAGGUGCUCCUAAUGCCAGCUUUAAUUAAAUCCUUUUUAAUCUGACUUGGUAAAGUCAGUGGGAGGAUUGAAAUUGACUGGAUAUUUUCUUCUCAUAUAUCCUUUAAUAAAAUCCUCAAAAAUUAUUAGGUCCCUAAAAAUGAUUAAGUUAUAUUGAUAACUAAGUCAUAGCCUCCCAUUAAGUGAGUGAUAAUGAGUCCAUUAGUUUAAUAAUCAUUGGAGGCCCAAAGGCCUGGUGCUUAUUGACUAACGGAAUUAUCAUUCAUAAUAUGAUAAUUUGGUUUGGAUCUUUCUGAUGGUGGUCAGGUUGGUCAGCCAAAGUUGGGCCUGAUCAUUUAUUGGUCUGAUUCACCAAAUCAAAUCAUGUUAAUGGUUGGACCUAACCAGAUCUUUUCAGUGGAGGCCAAAGCCUACUGAUUAGGUUCUGGGGCAAAAUCAAUUACUAGAAGUUGUUUAGAGAAACAACUGGUUAUGAACCUACCCAUAGAUGCACAUGAGUUGACCAACCAAAGUUGGGCUCAUGUGUAGUCUGUGUGGAUUCUAGUACCCACUAAGGAAUUAAAGUAAUUCCUCGAAUUGGAAGUUGAGGCUACC